UUCCAUUGAAGCAAGCUUUGUUUAAUAAACAAGUGCAAACUGGACGAUUUUAGAAAGUUGCUUAAAUAAACGAUUACAGUUAAAAUGGAUUCCUCGGCAUUGAUUAAUAAAGAGGAUGUUGUUGAAAACGCAAAAAUUUGUCGAUGGUGUCUGUCGAACGAUGAUACUUUGGAGGCUCUUACGCCCGACUAUUCCGGACAAUUUCAACUUCAAAAGCUGUCCGAAUGCACCGGUGCUGAGAUUAAUAUUUUACCUGGAGUUCCAUCGUACUUGUGCACGAAGUGUGAAUCUCGUUUGGAAAAGAUGGAUCGGUUUCGCUGGCGAUGCAAUGAAAAGAAUGAUAUGGUCGAAAAAUUUAUCGAACAGCAC